rnacentral:rRNA from 1 species
AUACGGAGGGGGCUAGCGUUGUUCGGAAUUACUGGGCGUAAAGCGCGUGUAGGCGGAUCGUUAAGUCAGGGGUGAAAGCCCGGAGCUCAACUCCGGAAUUGCCCUUGAUACUGGCGAUCUAGAGGCCGGGAGAGGUGAGCGGAAUUCCCAGUGUAGAGGUGAAAUCCGUAGAUAUUGGGAGGAACACCAGUGGCGAAGGCGGCUCACUGGCCCGGUUCUGACGCUGAGACGCGAAAGCGUGGGGAGCAAACAGGAUUAGAAACCCUAGUAGUCC